rnacentral:rRNA from 1 species
AUACGGAGGGUCCAAGCGUUAUCCGGAAUCAUUGGGUUUAAAGGGUUCGCAGGCGGUUUAAUAAGUCAGUGGUGAAAUCUCGGGGCUCAACCUCGAAACUGCCAUUGAUACUGUUAGACUUGAAUACAGUUGGAGUAGGCGGAAUGUGUAGUGUAGCGGUGAAAUGCUUAGAUAUUACACAGAACACCGAUAGCGAAGGCAGCUUACUAAACUGUGAUUGACGCUCAUGAACGAAAGCGUGGGGAGCGAACAGGAUUAGAAACCCCAGUAGUCC